rnacentral:rRNA from 1 species
UACGAAGGGGGCUAGCGUUGCUCGGAAUCACUGGGCGUAAAGCGCACGUAGGCGGCUUUUUAAGUCAGGGGUGAAAUCCUGGAGCUCAACUCCAGAACUGCCUUUGAUACUGAGGAUCUUGAGUUCGGGAGAGGUGAGUGGAACUGCGAGUGUAGAGGUGAAAUUCGUAGAUAUUCGCAAGAACACCAGUGGCGAAGGCGGCUCACUGGCCCGAUACUGACGCUGAGGCGCGAGAGCAAGGGGAGCAAACAGG